rnacentral:rRNA from 1 species
UACGGGGGGGGCAAGCGUUGUUCGGAAUUACUGGGCGUAAAGGGCUUGUAGGUGGCCAACUAAGUCAGACGUGAAAUCCCUCGGCUUAACCGGGGAACUGCGUCUGAUACUGGAUGGCUUGAGUGUGGGAGAGGGAUGCGGAAUUCCAGGUGUAGCGGUGAAAUGCGUAGAUAUCGAGAGGAACACCUGCGGCGAAGGCGGGUUGCUGGGCUGACACUGACGCUGAGGCGCGAAAGCUAGGGGAGCGAACGGG